UGCAAGUCGAACGAUGAUGCCCAGCUUGCUGGGCGGAUUAGUGGCGAACGGGUGAGUAACACGUGAGUAACCUGCCCUUGACUUCGGGAUAACUCCGGGAAACCGGGGCUAAUACCGGAUAUGAGCCGUCCUCGCAUGGGGGUGGUUGGAAAGUUUUUCGGUCAGGGAUGGGCUCGCGGCCUAUCAGCUUGUUGGUGGGGUGAUGGCCUACCAAGGCGACGACGGGUAGCCGGCCUGAGAGGGCGACCGGCCACACUGGGACUGAGACACGGCCCAGACUCCUACGGGAGGCAGCAGUGGGGAAUAUUGCACAAUGGGCGCAAGCCUGAUGCAGCGACGCCGCGUGAGGGAUGAAGGCCUUCGGGUUGUAAACCUCUUUCAGCAGGGAAGAAGCGCAAGUGACGGUACCUGCAGAAGAAGCGCCGGCUAACUACGUGCCAGCAGCCGCGGUAAUACGUAGGGCGCAAGCGUUGUCCGGAAUUAUUGGGCGUAAAGAGCUCGUAGGCGGUUUGUCGCGUCUGGUGUGAAAACUCGAGGCUCAACCUCGAGCUUGCAUCGGGUACGGGCAGACUAGAGUGCGGUAGGGGAGACUGGAAUUCCUGGUGUAGCGGUGGAAUGCGCAGAUAUCAGGAGGAACACCGAUGGCGAAGGCAGGUCUCUGGGCCGCAACUGACGCUGAGGAGCGAAAGCAUGGGGAGCGAACAGGAUUAGAUACCCUGGUAGUCCAUGCCGUAAACGUUGGGCACUAGGUGUGGGGCUCAUUCCACGAGUUCCGUGCCGCAGCAAACGCAUUAAGUGCCCCGCCUGGGGAGUACGGCCGCAAGGCUAAAACUCAAAGGAAUUGACGGGGGCCCGCACAAGCGGCGGAGCAUGCGGAUUAAUUCGAUGCAACGCGAAGAACCUUACCAAGGCUUGACAUGCACGGGAAGCCACCAGAGAUGGUGGUCUCUUUGGACACUCGUGCACAGGUGGUGCAUGGUUGUCGUCAGCUCGUGUCGUGAGAUGUUGGGUUAAGUCCCGCAACGAGCGCAACCCUCGUCCCAUGUUGCCAGCGGGUUAUGCCGGGGACUCAUGGGAGACUGCCGGGGUCAACU
rnacentral:rRNA from 1 species